rfam:Ixodes scapularis strain Wikel colony gcontig_1108378659818, whole genome shotgun sequence.
AAGCAGCGUGUUUUUAUCCCUGUCUGUAAAGACUGGGUAAACCGUGGAACCUCCUUCGUGAUUGGGAUAGGGGCUUGCAAUUGUUACCCUUGAACGAGGAAUUCCCAGUAAGCGCGAGUCAUAAGCUCGCGUUGAUUACGUCCCUGCCCUUAGUACACACCGCCCGUCGCUACUACCGAUGGAAUGAUUUUGUCAGCUCUUCGGUCUGAUUCCCGGAGCGUUCUAUCGGUCGUCUCGGUGUCCUUGGGGUCGAAGAAGAGGAAGUUUGAAAUACAAUUCAGUUGAUAGUUC